rnacentral:rRNA from 1 species
UACGUAGGUCCCGAGCGUUGUCCGGAUUUAUUGGGCGUAAAGCGAGCGCAGGUGGUUUAUUAAGUCUGGUGUAAAAGGCAGUGGCUCAACCAUUGUAUGCAUUGGAAACUGGUAGACUUGAGUGCAGGAGAGGAGAGUGGAAUUCCAUGUGUAGCGGUGAAAUACGUAGAUAUAUGGAGGAACACCGGUGGCGAAAGCGGCUCUCUGGCCUGUAACUGACACUGAGGCUCGAAAGCGUGGGGAGUAAACAGG